GCGCACUUCAUCGGCCUCACUCAUCACCUAUUUUUUCACUUCUCUCUCGAUCCACUUCCUUCUUUUUAUGGUCUUAUAAGGGUUUUCAAUUUCUCAAAAUUCCCUCCAUAUCCCCUUAAACCCCUUACUCAGAAUCUUCCAGCUCAUUUUCUUUUAGGGUUUUUUUUUCUUUAAAAGGGGAAAGAAUUCUGUUAUUAGUUUUAUGUUCUGAUUAAGCUUCAAUUUGAAGCUUCUUUUCUUGAGUUCUUGAAUUGCAAUUCAGCCUCUGAGGGAUUACUGUUUGUUUUGAGUUACCAUUCUUUGGUUUUUUUUGGCCGUUAUGGGUUUAAAAUUUUCAAAUUUUGUAGUAUUCUAGGGUUUGGCGGAGUCUUGUUCGAUUCUUUUCUUCGGUUUUUUUGCUGAAAAAACGUAGGAAAGGGAGAUCCGAAACGGGUGUUUUAAUGGGCUUUUAAUGAUUUACGUGGGGGUUAUUUCGAGGACUAGUGGGUUGUUAAUGUGAUAAAUGAUGAGAGAGUAGAGAUAAAACCCUAAUUUUGAUUAUGAGGUUUUGAAUAUGAACCAUGGAGGUGGAGAGAGCAACCCAAAGAGUGAACCAACAAGCGCCACGUCAUCAAGAAGAGCUGGAGCUGAAGAUUUUGGUCGAGCAGUUGCAAAAAUCGCGGUGGCACAAAUAUGUGAAAGCGUUGGAUUUGAAGGCUUCAAAGAUUCGGCUUUGGACGCCCUUGCAGACUUUGCAAUCAGAUUCAUCCGUGACUUAGGUAAAACGUCCAGUUUUCAUGCUAACUUAGCCGGUAGAACGCAGUGCAAUUUAUUCGAUACAAUUUGUGGAUUAGAAGAGUUAGGAGCUAUAAAUGGGUUUUUAGGUGCAUCAGAGAUUGGUAAAUGUCUUGUAGGGUCAGGCAUGUUAAGGGAAAUAAUUCAGUUUGUGGAGUCUAAUGAGGAAGUCCCUUUUGCACAGCCAAUCCCACAGUUCCCUGUUGUUAGGAGUAGGAGAUUGAUACCGAGUUUUGAAGAAGUGAGUGAAACGCCGCCGGGUAAACAUAUUCCAUCUUGGUUGCCCGCUUUUCCUGAUCUUCAUACGUAUAUUUCAACGCCUAUGUGGAAUGAGAGGAAAUCUGAUCCUCGUGCUGAUAAGAUUGAGCAGGUGAGGCAGAGGAGGAAGGCGGAGAUGGCUUUGUUGAGUUUGCAGCAGAGGUUGGUGUCUAAUGGUGAAGCAGGAAGUUCGUCCUCAGGGAAGCCGACUUAUGAGGUGGAUGAUUCUCAAGAAGCUGGAAGUAACCCAUAUCUUGCUAAGCCGUUGCAAUCUGAAGAGAAAGAUGUUUCUCCAGUGGUUUUGCCUGCUAAGCUUAAAAAUGAAGUGUCUGGGGGAACUAAUGUUUCUGUAAUGGAUGCAUUUGGUCCUGCCAUUGAAGCAGUGAAAGGUAGCGGGCUUUGUGAUGAUGGAGAAGGUGAUGGGAACAGUCUUCCUCACAAGAGGCCUGCUGUUCAUUUUAAAAUUAGAAGUGGAAAGAAGUUUCUGGGUGAAUUUCUGGAUACGAGUCUUCAGAAGAAGGGUGGUGGAAGAAGCAUGUCAUUUGGGCGGGAUGAUGAGAAGGAUGACAAGAAGAGAAGAGCUGAGUAUAUUCUUAGACAAUCUAUAGAAAAUCCACAAGAACUCACUCAGUUGUAAAAUAGUUCAUGACUGGUAUGCUCGGUAGAAAUCUUCUUAGUUUAGAAAUUGGUGCCAGAAGUAAUGGGCUAUGGUUGCUCUUACACUAGAGGCAUACUGUUGCUCUGGCAUUGAUAUUAAGGGAACUCUGUUGGGACUCCCUUGGCACUCCACUCUAACAAUUGUGAUAGGAUUACUUUGAGCUUGCUUGCUUCACAUGGGAUGAUCAGUACACCCUUUUGAUUGAAUCCAAAUUCUUGUUCUGCCACAUCUAGCAACUUAAUAAAUGGUGGGUAUGCAAGAUACCUCAAUGCAACUGAAAGUUUCUGGGGUUCACUGCUGCUGAGCACAAGAACAGAAAAGUGCCGCUUUUUCACAGUUUCAAAGUCGUGUAUGCUUUUGAGAUGUCUGGUAUGCCCCUUGAAAAGGUAGAAGCACUUCUGUAGCUGCAUCAAUGCAUUCUUAGCCACAAAGAAGCAAGUAUUGCUCCAUUUUUUUUUCCCUGAUCCAUGUGCUUUGGGCUUUUCACUAAAUCUUGAAACUGUUUCUUCUUUGACUAUGGAAACUUUAGUUGGGUAUAAAUAGUUGAAAGGUUUGUAGAUUUGGCAAUGGUGGACGUGGUCUCACCCCUGAGAGGCCCUUCUAGAUUUACCUACUUGGCUUUUCUCCAAAGAAAUGUGAGGCUACCAAAUGGAUUGCAUAAGUUGACAUUGAGUUCAGAUUGUAUUCUAUUAUCUUGAGUUUAGCGUAGUUGAUGGGAUCUAGCAAAAGCUUUUGUUGCCUAAAUGUUUGGGUGAAGCACUGAAGCCUAUAGUUGAAAAAUGACUGCUGAAGUAGGCUGUCUUGUGGAGGAAUGUUUUGUUAAAGUUUGAUCCUGUUGAAUGAUAUUCAACUGGAGAUGAUAACUGAAAAAGUUAAUGCUGCUAAAAUGCAUGCAUCUAAAAGAAAUCUGAAAUCUACUCUGCCGGCACAAUUAUUAUUGUUUAUUCAACACAAGAGCUGGCAUCUAUUGCACUUUCCAAUUGUCUUUCUUAUUCAUUUGUUCAUCUAAUAAUUACCUGGUAGUAACUAUUGAAGGAUUCUUAUACAGAACAUAAAUGGCAUAAUACUUGACUGCAAGCAGUGCACUGCAUUUAGAUGUUGAUUUCACAAAUUGAGCCCUUCAAGAAGUUAUUUCUUAUUUAUAAAAAAAAAAUUGGAGUUCCAGGUUCAGCCAUGCCGACUAUAUUUUGAACUACCAACCUGGGUUUGCUAGUUGCAAUAGCUUAUAAUGUCUUUAAAAGCUAUCCCCGGUAGUGUCUCCUUUCUUCUGUCUUGUCAGCAAAUUCAUGGCAAGAAUCAGCAGUAUACAAGAUUAUAAAGAUUUCUGGCUAGAAGAACAAAGGUUUUUUCAAAACAGAAACCGGAAGUAAACGACAUGACGCCAGUACUAAAUGCAAAUUUUGAAUGUUCUUAUCUCUGGUCAAGUGUAACAAAACUGAUUGUUUAAGUAUAAACACUGAAUCCAAAUGCUAUAUGUAAUUGUAGACUAUGCAGAUGAAAACUAUGAUCCUUAAAUACG